rnacentral:piRNA from 1 species
GAGGGUCCAGGGUUCAUGUCCCUGUUCAG